AGACAGACGCUUGCACUCUGCCUCUCGCCGUCUCGCGCUUGCUUACACGCAUCAGCCGCAUCCGUUCCAUGCCCUGCCGACUCUGGCGGUUGGUGGCGAAGUUCAGGGAUGCCGACUCCGGCAGUUGGUUGCGAAGUUCAGGGUCGUUAAGCGCGUGGUCAUCUCACAUGUUUCUGCGUGUGAUGCGUGCGUGGUAACUGGCUGUACGCUGUUCGGUAACUCCCCUGGACGGAUGGGUGAGAGUUGGAAGUGGUUGACUUGCUCGUUCCGUGCUCUAAACGUGACGUGAGAUGGAGGCCUUCGUGGGAAUUGUUAACUCAACCGGUGCCUUAACAGGCACAAUGAUAUCGGUGGUACAGCCGUGACCCGUGUAUUGACAUGGGCAUUUAUAUUAGUGUGCCAACAAUGGAGGUGCGUAGUAGCAGAAUUCGAUUACACACAGAGAAGUUUUAUAGCCAGCAUAGAUUAGCUUAUCACUCCCUCCAUCCCAGGCGUGCAUGUAUUUGGAAAAGUCAAUAUUUUAAAUCUUUGACUAAUAAUUUAGCAAAAAAA
rnacentral:lncRNA from 7 species